GCACAAUUAUGUCCCUAUUUGUUAACUUCAAAUCACCUGUGAUGAUCAUAUAUUAUAUCAAAAUCAGCGAUCAUAUAACCAUAAUCCAACACGUAUGUUCUAAGUUUAUAAACACAUCUAUAGGCCAUUUCAAAAGUUAUACAAGAUAGGACCCCCAAAAUACGACACAAUAGAGUGUAAGCUCAAAACAAUAGCCCACAAAAUAACCCUACAGGUCGUCAUCCAUGUACAUUGAUCUUUGGAAUCCCGUAAGAGCUCCACAGCUAGCCGUGCCCUCUACAUAGUUCCAUGCUCACCUACAAUGCAAGAACUACAUAAGCCAAUGCUUAGUAAGCAAGAAUCAUGCAUUUCAUGAGUAUGAGUAACAAGGAUAUGUGACACCAUGUCAUUUACUUUAAACAUCAUGCUAAAGAUGCAUCAUAUUCCAAUAUUCAUCAAAGUCGACUCGAAAUUAUUUCAUUUGAAAUCUUUCAUUUCAUUGGGCCCUUGACCCACCAACUAUGCACUUGAUAGAGCUCUGCAUAAUAUCAAUAUCAAUAAUCAAUUGGCCAAUAUAAAAUCGACACCGGCGAGUGGACCAUCCUCUCGUGACCGCUAGAGGCCCAUCCCCUAACUACCCCUAUGAUCACCCAAGAAGUCUUCUACCCGGCAGCGCCAAUAAUCAUUACAAGGGCAUAAUUGAGUGGUCCGCCCUCCCGUGAUCACCAAAGGGCCAUCCCCUGUCUACCUUUGCAAUCACCCAGGAAGUAUCACCCGCGAUGCCAAACAUAUCACAUAAGCAUGCCUCACAUGCCUCGGUGCCCUAGUAGUGGUCAAUAAAACAUUUAUAAAGAAAACUUACUUUGAAAUCAUGUUUCACAUGCAAAGUUUUCAACCAUGAUCAUAUGUUGUGCAUGCCAACGAAAAUGCUCAUGAAUGACAUGCUCAAUGGAAGUUGAUGUCAAUGUAUUUUGCAACCGCAUAUUCAAUGAUCAUAAUCAUCAUAUAGGGUACAACGAGCUUUCUUAUCAAAGUAUGAAAAUAUCCUAACAUCACUAUACUACAAAUGCUAGAUUCUUGCAUCGUAG
rnacentral:lncRNA from 1 species